UACGUAGGAUCCGAGCGUUGUCCGGAUUUACUGGGUGUAAAGGGUGCGCAGGCGGACUGGUAAGUCAGUGGUGAAAUCUCGUCGCUUAACGACGAAACUGCCUUUGAUACUAUCAGUCUUGAAUCCGGUAGAGAUCUGUGGAAUUCCGAGUGUAGCAGUGAAAUGUGUAGAUAUUCGGAAGAACACCAGUGGCGAAGGCAGCAGAUUGGGCCGGUAUUGGACGCUCAGGCACGAAAGCAUGGGGGAUCAAACAGG
rnacentral:rRNA from 1 species